AAGAUUCCAUGAAAACAUGAUGCAGAUACUGCACUAGGAUCAAUUUAUUUCUUCUAUCACCAAUUCAUCAUGAGCUAGCACACCAUAAAGACUUGGUAAAAAAGUACAAAUACAAAGACACACAUAUGCGCGAGAUCUAUUAAGCAGUGACAUCGAUCUUCAUGCCUUGCUGGCAGUGACCCGGAAGGCUACAGAUGAAGAAUGCUUUGCCUCUGCGGGCGAGCUGGAUGUGGUCAUUUCCGGAGGUGUAGGUCCUCGACGGGCCCGUGACCCUGCAUGAGUUGUAGUCGCCUUCUCCCACCUGCACCACAUUGUGCAUACUCGGGUUGUACUUGAACACUGCGUGCAUUAGUUAACACAAGAAUACAGAUCAGAACACAUUAUAUACAUCAAGAACAACCAAUCACUUGAUCUUUAGAGUUCUCACCAAGCACGUCACCGGACUGGAUGUGCUUGCCACUCUCCCAUCCGGAGACGCCGAAGCUCCAUCCCUUGUUGUCACCAACGGUCCACUCCUUGCCAUGGACGAUGGGGGUUGCGCAGCAAACGACCAGAAGCAGCACCAAAAGGGUGGGUACCAUGGUUGCCCGAGCCAUUGAUGGUGUUGCUCUUGACUUCUUGUUGAUACCGAAGAUCACAAGAAUAGAAAAGUGAAAUAGUGGUCGAUUCCUCGGUAGAAUGGUAGGAACUUAUGUCUACUUGUAUAUUAACAGUAGCUAGUCCAAAUAGAUGUUGGUUUAUCAAGAUUCCAUGAAAACAUGAUGCAUGCACUGCACUAGGAUCAAUUUAUUUCUUCUAUCACCAAUUCAUCAUGACCUAGCACACCAUAAAGACUUGGUAAAAAAGUACAAAAUACAAAGACACGCAUAUGCACGAGAUCUAUUAAGCAGUGACAGCAAUCUUCAUGCCUUGCUGGCAGUGACCCAGAAGGCUGCAGAUGAAGAACGCUUUGCCUCCGUGGGAGAGCUGGAUGUGGUCAUUGCCGGAGGUGUAGGUCCUCGACGGGCCCGAGACCCUGCAUGAGUUGUAGUCGCCUUCUCCCACCUGCACCACAUUGUGCAUACCCGGGUUGUACUUGAACACUGCGUGCAUUAGUUAACACAAGAAUACAUAUCAGAACACAGUAUAUACAUCAAGAACAACCAAUCACUUGAUCUUUAGAGUUCUCACCAAGAAUGUCGCCGGACUGGAUGUGCUUGCCACUCUCCUAUCCGGAGACACCGAAGCACCAUCCCUUGUUGUCACCAACGGCCCACUCCUUGCCAUGGACGAUGGUGGUUGCGCAGCAAACGACCAGAAGCAGCACCAAAAGGGUGGGUACCAUGGUUGCCCGUGCCAUGGAUGGUGUUGCUCUUGACUUCUUGUUUAUUCUGAAGAUCACAAGAAAAAAAGUGAAAUAGUGGUCGAUUCCUGAAGUGAUGGCUUGCGUUCGGUCUCCUUCUCGUAUGAUAUAUAUAGGCGGUCAGCUAAAACUAUUGUUUUAAUGUUCUCAAAUAAUGAAGAUCUUGCCUUAAAUAAGACAAAUCAACAUUUGUGAUAUGCAACAUUAGUUAGUAUAUGCUACCAAAUCCUCCAACUUGUACAAUCUGAUCUUGGAUUAAUUGAAAUGAACGAGGAUGCAUUUAUUUCCUACUUUCAUGAUUUAGUAAAUAUUUAUUUUUCCUGGAUGCAUUAGUAGUAUAUCAGAAAUUGAUAUAUACUAUUACUAGAUGAUAUAAUUGUAAUAAUAACAUUUUAAAAUACAAAAUUAUUUUUUUAUAAGGAGAAGUCCCUAUCUUGACUUUUCAACCAUAGGUGCUAAAGCGAUUGGAGGCCAUGAUUUGCGAUUGUUUAGUCUCAAAUAAUUUGAAAUUGAUAGGAAUAUUUUCAAUAAAUGGAGUUCAAAUGAAUUUCAGAAGUUGGAAAAUUGAAUGCAUUAGGUUCAAAUAAGAAUUUUAGGCUAGGUUAAUUUGGAGCAAUUGCAAAACAAAAGAGCCCCGACUGGUUUACAAAGCAGUAAAACCGACGAGAUUCAGAAGGAUCUAAUUGAGAGGAAAAUUUGUGAGAGUUACCAAGAACUUGUAGCCACUUGGGAUGGAGACGAUGACCUUAAGGGCGCCCUCUGUGAAAACUCCUCAACUACACCUGAUCGACGAAAUUAGCCCUAAACUAACCAUCGUGGCACAAACUGGAAUGACCUACUGAUAACCCUCAAGUAUAGGGGAUCGCGAUUCAAGAGUAGCAUUUCACCCAAAUUUAUUGAUUCAACACAAGGGGAGCCAAAGAAUAUUUAUGAACCUUAGCAGUUGAGUUGUCAAUUCAACCACACCUGGGAGAUUAUAUUUGUGCAACAAAGUGUUUAGUAACAUGGUAGUUUGAUAGUUUUGAUAGUAGCAGUAACAGUAGCAAUAGUAACAGGAACUGUAACAAUAGCAGUUUGUGAUGAUUGUAACAAUAGCAGCAAGAGUAACUUAGCAAAGACCAAUAUGAGAAAAGCAUAGGAAUUGGGUCAGGCGAUGCAUAUUUGUGUUGGUUGACACUCAUCAUAUAGCAGUCACUACCUAGAGUGAUACACAAUAGCUCCAAUUCAUCAAUGUAAUAUAGGCAUGUAUUCCGUAUAUAGUCAUACACGCUUAUAAUAAGAAAUUGCAUGACAUCUUUUGUCCUACCCUCCCGUGGCAGCGGGGUCCGUAAGGAAACUAAGAGAUAUUAAGGCCUCCUUACAAUAGUGAACCGGAACAAAACAUUAACACAUGGUGAAUACAUGAACUCCUCGAAUUACAGUCAUUCCCAGAGAGUAUCCCAAUUAUUGUCACUUUGGGGUCUAAGGACCAGAACAAUAACAAGAGCAUAUAACUAGCAGAUAGGAUCAGGAACUCAAAUAUAUUCAUGAAAACAUAGAGGGUUCAGAUCUGAAAUCAUGGUAAUCGGGUCUUAGUGACAAGCGUUAAGCAUAUCAAAGUCAUAGAAACAUCAAUCUUGGAACAUAGUGGAACUAGGGAUCAAGCCCUAACAAAUUGAAUCGUUUGCAUGACAAAUCUCAUCCAACUCCAUCAUCGUCCAGCAAUCCUAUGAAGAAAUUACUCAAUCCCAGUGGUGAGCAUCAUGGAAUUGUUGAUGAUGAUGACGAUGACGAAUCCCCCUCUUCGGAGCCCAAAACAAACUCAUCAGCCCUCCGGAUGAAGAACAGGAGGUGUCGGCAGCUCCGUCUCACAAAACAUGAUGAAACUUUCUCUCUGAUUUUUCUCUCCGUGAGACGAUAUUUAUGGAGUUCGAAUUAGGGAAAACGGAGGCUCGUGGAGCCCAUGAACUCACAAGGCGGUCCCUGGGAAGGAUUGGGUGGGCAUGCUCCCUGAGCUCAUGGUUCCUGAGUGGCCCCCUCCAGUAGGUCUCUUCGCCAAUAUUUUUUCAUAUUUUUCAGAAAUAAUCUCCGUAAAAUUUCAGCCCAAUCUGAGAGCUUUUAUUUCCGCACAAAAAUAAGACCAUGACGAUUCUGCUGAAAAAGCGUCAAUCUAGGUUAGUUUCAUUCAAAUCAUGCAAAUUAGAGUCCGAAGCAAUAGUAAAAGUGUUUGGAAAAGUAGAUACGUUUGGGAUGUAUCAACUCACUAAGCUUAUCUCAUUGCUUGUACUCAAGGAAUUUAGUAGAUAAACUAAAAGUGAUAAAGAAAAACUUCUACAAACUCUUUCGUUCUCAGUGUUGUAUAGAUGCUUAACUAGUGUUCAAUUUUUCAGCAAAGAUUAUGAACAAACCACAUGAAUGAUAACACUUAGGUCUCAUUUUUACUCAUGAGAACAACACAACCAACUAAUGAUCAAUAACAAGAUAUCUCGGAUGCCAACAAUUUGUCAAAAUAAUUAAGAUAUACUAUAUCACUAAGCUCCCUAGGAUUGGAGGCCUCACAAUCAAUUGAGGUCUCCAAUUGGAAUUUGGUCACCCAAUUUUGACCGGGUCAACAAUUUCUCAAAAUUCUCUCCUUCAUUUUUUAUAAUACGCUAUGCUUCCUAAUUUUUAAAGCUUCACAAUUAAUUGAAACUUCAAUGUAGAAUUGGGUCACUCGAUUUUGACCGGGUGAACAAUUUCUCAAGGAGCUCUCCCAUUUAAUUAUUUUAAUUCUCUAUGUUUCCCAAUUUUAAAGCUCUUUCAUUCGAUUGAGGUAUUCAAUUCUGGAUUUGUUUAUGAUAUUGAUCGGGCCAAUGAUUUUUCAAAUUAAUCAGCAGCAACCGGCCUAUAAUAACAUAUCAACCCCGCGCAGACUCCCAUCACCUAGAAAAAAGUGCCACCAUGUGAUACCACGAAUAUAGUACAUGCAACCACUGAUGCAAAAACAAUCCCGCAUAAAUAUGUGUUAAUUAGCGGAUAACGUAGAAUCAUACCACAAAAGGCCCACCAAAUAACCACAUUAAAAAUAAACAUAAAACACACUUCAUCAUCUCCCCCAUCGACCAACCUUUCCCCUCCGUUUCAUCUGUCCGAAAAUGCCUAACUUCGGGAAAACUUUUCGGACGUUAUCCCCCUUCGGCGGUACCGGGUAACACCGCGUUAGAACACCCCUAGCGCUGCUUAUUGGCUUGUCAUGCUUAGUAUUGCACUUGUUUGCCCUGUAUUUACUGUGUUUUCCCCCUCUUCUCUCCGGUAGACCCCGAGACCGCUGCUGAUGCCCCUGUGAUCGACUACGUCGACGACGACCCUUCUCCCCUUUCAUCGGAGCUUCCAGGCAAGCCCCCCCUUUGAUCAUCCCGAUAUCGCCCAUUCCAUUCUCUCAUGCUUGCAUUAGAUUUUGCUACUGUUAUUGUUUGCUCCUAUUCUGAUGCAUAGCUUGCUUUUGUACCUGCUAUUGUUACCUACCUGCUUGUCCUAAACUGCUUAGUAUAGGUUGGUUAGAGAUCCAUCAGUGACCCCCACUUGUCCUUGUUGCCCCUGCUUCAUCAACGAUGCCUCGAUCAUCGUGAUCGACGACCAGAGCCUGACACCUCACAUCACAUCACGCCCCUUUAGUUGCUCGACUCUGCAGAGCUACUAUCGAGUGCCGAGGGUGAUCCCUCAUAACGCACUCCUGAUGAUAAUUCUGUAGUGUAGCUAUUCGGUCGUGGUCAACGGGGGUGGUUCCUCUUUCACCAUUCCUGAUACGGCUCUAUCGUGCAACACCUCAAGUGUGAUCCUCGAGGGUGGUCCCUCUUACGUUCACCUUGACGUUUACAUUGAGUGGAAUCCACUGGGGGUGAUUGCUCGGGUUUUCUUCCUUGAUGUUUUGGACACACGGUUACCUUGACUUUACUUGAGACCAUUGUUGAAGUCGGGUCGGCCCUAAGGGGUACCCGCGAGUUGAUGUGAAAGCCGGGCGGGCCCGGAGAGCACCCGUGCGUUGUGACAGUGCCGGAUGGCCGUUUAGCGGUAUCACCCAGGAAGGGGUGAUAGUUCUAGACUUGUCCCGACAGCCAUCACUACUUUAAUUGUUAAUGCACUAACUGGUUUGGGUAUUUGUUCUGAAUUGGCCUUUGUCCUUUACGCACUAACCACCACGCGAGAAUAGUUAUGGGCCUCGACGUCGCAGUAUCAGCCGAAGCUUUGUCAGACGGCCAGUUCAGUAUUGCGGCACGGCUGGGCCGGCACCAUCCUGUAGUGGUGGAGCCUGGACCCGCCCUACAUGUAACGACCCGGAGUGCAACGGGCGAUGGACCCAGACCCCGGAGUGCUUAGGAUGUAGACCGGCGGGGACCUCUCUGCUGAGCCUAGGUAGGGUUGCGACGUGUUGAUCUUCCGAGGCCGGGCAUUGACCCCAGAAAGGUGUGUCCGGCCAGAGUGAUCGAGCGUGUUGGAAAACGUGGUGCACCCCUGCAGGGAAGAUAUAUAUUCGAAUACCGUGUCCACGGUAAUGGACGUUCAGACUUGUAUCCUGAUCUUAUACAACUAGAAAUGGAUACUUGAUAUGUGAUGGAUAUCUGGCCCCGGGAUUGCUUUCUCGUAGGGAGUCGAGGAAGGAUCUCUGGGCGUUAAUGCUACAACAUGUUUGUUAAAUAUAAACUACUAUUCUUUACUCGUCUACAUGCUGCAAGAUGCUUGGAGCUGCUUGAAGAUGCUAGUCUUUGAUAGGCUAGGCCUUCCCCCCUAUUCCGGCAUUCUGUAGUUCAGUCCACAGAUACAACCCUUCCAUUUGAUACCAAUGCAUACUUAGUUUAGAUCUGAUGCUCGUGAGUUCUUUGGAUGUGUACUCACGGUUGCUUUGCUACCCCUUUUCCCCCUUCCUUCUUCUUUCCGGUUGAUGCAACCAGAUGGUGGAUCCUUAGAGCCAGAUGCCACCGCCAAUGGAUACUACUACACGGAGGCCGCCGAAGACCAGGAGUAGUUAGGAGGUCCCAGGUAGGAGGCCUUGCCUCUUCGAUUGUUGCUUCUUUUGUGCUUGCCUUCUUAAGGUAGUGUUGUCUAACUUAUGUCUAUACUCAGAUAUUGUUGCUUCCGCUGACUCUUGUGUAUCGAGCUUGUAUUCGAGCCCUCGAGGCCCCUGGCUUGUAAUAUGAAGCUUGCAUUGUUUUAUUUGUGUCUAGAGUUGUGUUGUGAUAUCUUCCCGUGAGUCCCUGAUCUUGAUCGUACACAUUUGCGUGUAUGAUUAGUGUACGGUCGAAUUGGGGGCGUCACACUUCACAAUCAAUUGAGGUCUCCAAUUGGAAUUUGGUCACCCGAUUUUGACCGGGUCAACAAUUUCUCAAAAUUCUCUCCUUCAAAUUUUUGUAUAAUACACUAUGCUUCCUAAUUUUUAAAACUUCACAAUCAAAUUGAAACUUCAAUUUAGAAAUGGGUCACUCGAUUUUGACCGGGUGAAGAAUUUCUCAAGAAGCUCUCCCAUUUAAUUAUUUUAAUUCUCUAUGUUUCCCAAUUUUAAAGCUCUUUCAUUCGAUUGAGGUAUUCAUUUUUGGAUUUGUUUAUGAUUUUGAUCGGGCCAACGAAUUUUCAAAUUAAUCAGCAGCAACCGGCCUAUAAAAACAUAUCAACCCCGCGCAGACUCCCAUCACCUAGAAAAAAGUGCCACCGUGUGAUACUAUAGCACGAAUAUAGUACAUGCAACCACCGAUGCAAAAAAAAAAUCCGGCAUAAAUAUGUGUUAAUUAUGAGAUAACGUAGAAUCACACCACAAAAGGCCCACCAAAUAACCACAUUACAAAUAAACAUAAAACACACUUCAUCAUCUCCCCCAUCGACCAAACUAAAUAUUCCCUCGGUGUCAAAAUAUAAGGGGUAUUAUUUUAUGGAAAGUAAAAUUUCUUUAACUUUGAACAAGUUUAGAGCCAAAAAUAUCGACAUCCGCAAUAUUAAACAAAAAUAUACGAAAAUUAAUUUCUUGAUGAAUCUAAUAACACCGAUUUGAUAUUAUGAAUUUUGAUUUAUUUAUCUACAAAUUUGAUCAAACUUAAAGAAGUUUAACUUUUCAAAAUAAUAAUACGCCAUAUAUUUUGAAAUUCAGUGAGUAAAGAAAUAUAAGAAUCCCAACAACAUCAACGGCGCAGCAAAGCGCGCCCAACCCUUCUAGUAUAAGGAGAUACCCCCUUUGUUACUUAAUAGAAGGUGCAAUUGGUUUUUGAUAAAAUUCCAUAAUGUAAGGUGCAUUUCUUCUAAUUCAUCAAUAAUUCUGUUUUAUCACUGUAGAAAAAAGGAAAGUAUCUCUCCCGAUUGCGUAAAUCUCUUACUUUUCUAGCCCAAAUGAUUUAGUUACCACUAAUCAAUGAUUUAGACAAGGUUAAUUUUUUCCUAACUUGUGUAUAAUUAUGUGUCUUGGUCACCAUGCCAAAAAUUAUACACCUUACAUAAAGGAAUGGAGGGAGUAAAUUAUUAGAGGUUGACUAGAGAUGCUCUUAGUAUUUGUUAAUAAGAUGGCAUAUUGGGUAGUUUCAAAGGAACUCCGAGGGCAGAUGGUAUGGUGGGUGAAGUGGAGCAGGUAAAGCAACCAUUUCUCUGCUCCAGUAAAAUGAACUAGAUGCUACUCCAGCUCCAAUCCACUAAGGAAUUGAAGUUGAGGUGUUUGAAACAAAUCUAUUGAAAUCAUGAAUUGGAGCAGUCCAAAACCACCCUCAAUCCGACAAGAACCAACCAGGAGCAUAUCCUAUAUGUGAAGGUCGACCGUGUUACUGGAUUGGUGGAUCUAGUUUGUUAAGUUGACUCGACGACUAGGGCUCCGGGGCACUAGUCCUUAAGGGCGCGUGCACGAAGACUUCUCGGGUGUAAUCGACAAGGUCAGGCCGGCUUCGACAACCAGCGCGUGAGCGGCUCAUUCUGGCGGUAGUGGUCGUUUGAUGGUCUAAGAACUUCUAUGUAUUUUUUAUCAUGUUUGGGAUGCUUUGUACAUUUGGUGAACUAUUUUUAAAAAAGACUCCGAAUUCAAUUGACUGUGAUAGACCAUCAUAAUAGUUUGCCCUUUAUGUUUAAAGUAUGGUCGGUAGAAUUGUAGAAACUUAUGUCUACUUGUAUAUUAACAGUAGCUAGUGCAAAUAGAAGUUGGUUUAUCAAGAUUCCAUGAAAACAUGAUGCAGAUACUGCACUAGGAUCAAUUUAUUUCUUCUAUCACCAAUUCAUCAUGAGCUAGCACACCAUAAAGACUUGUAAGAAAGUACAAAUACAAAGACGCACAUAUGCGCCAGAUCUAUUAAGAAGUGACAGCGAUCUUCAUGCCUUGCUGGCAGUGACCCGGAAGGCUACAGAUGAAGAAUGCUUUGCCUCCGCGGGCGAGCUGGAUGUGGUCAUUUCCGGAGGUGUAGGUCCUCGACGGGCCCGAGACCCUGCAUGAGUUGUAGUCGCCUUCUCCCACCUACACCACAUUGUGCAUACUCGGGUUGUACUUGAACAC
rnacentral:lncRNA from 1 species